rnacentral:rRNA from 1 species
ACGGAAGGCAGCAGUGGGGAAUAUUGGGCAAUGGGCGAAAGCCUGACCCAGCAACGCCGCGUGAAGGAAGAAGGUUUUCGGAUUGUAAACUUCUUUUAUCGGGGACGAAGAAAGUGACGGUACCUGAUGAAUAAGCCACGGCUAACUACGUGCCAGCAGCCGCGGUAAUACGUAGGUGGCAAGCGUUAUCCGGAUUUACUGGGUGUAAAGGGCGCGUAGGCGGGGAUGCAAGUCAGGUGUGAAAUCUAUGGGCUUAACCCAUAAACUGCAUUUGAAACUGUAUCUCUUGAGUGUCGGAGAGGUAGACGGAAUUCCUAGUGUAGCGGUGAAAUGCGUGGAUAUUAGGAGGAACACCAGUGGCGAAGGCGGCCUGCUGGACGACAACUGACGCUGAGGCGCGAAAGCGUGGGGAGCAAACAGGAUUAGAUACCCUGGUA